GAUUUUGCAGAUGCAGAUAUUCCACUUGUCUGCAUAUUAUUAAGUGAUAUAGGUAGUCUCAUCCAUUUGAGAUUUUUGAGUCUUGGGAACUGUGCUUUUGUGGCAAUGUUGCCUUCAUUUAUAAGCAAAUUAAGGUGCUUGCAAAGCUUGGAUCUAAGAGAUUGUAUUGGGGUUUAUGUACCUAAUGUUUUAUGGAAAUUGGAGCGGUUGAGACAUUUAUAUCUCCCUGAUCAGGUUUGUGCGAGAACCAAAUUGAAAUUGGAUACUUUGAAAAAUCUGCAAACGCUUGUGAAUUUCAACACCAAAAAUUGUUAUCUUAAAAAUAUUUGUUACAUGAAAUAUCUUAGAGAGUUGAUGAUAACUGUUCCUUUUAUUGUUGAAAACUUUAGAGAAGACUUGAAUUUGAAUCCACCGAUCAUCACAAGCAAGCAUCUUCGAUCCUUAUCCAUUUCAAAAAAUAAAAGUACAGAUCCAAGGCAUUUGACAUACCUGCUCUCUAGCUGCCUUAAUAUCCGUGAGUUGCAUUUAUCUGUCGAGAUAAGGAAGUUACCUCAGAACAUCCCUUCAAAUAUUGCUCACAUUUCCUUGGAUUGGGCUAGACUCAGUGAAGAUCCAUUGCCAACACUAGAAAAGCUACCUAAUCUAAGGAUUCUUGAAUUAGGACGAGAUGCGUUCCUCGGAGAGGUGAUGAUUUGUUCCGCCCAAGGUUUUCCUAUGCUCAACUCUUUGAGUAUUUUUUUGCAAGCAAAUUUAGAGGAGUUGAGGGUGAGUGAGGGAGCUAUGCCGAAUCUACACCAUCUGAUGAUUGCAAAUUGUAGAAACUUGAAGAUGCUGCCAAACGAGUUGAGGUUCAUCACAACCCUCAAAGAAUUGAAGAUCGAAAAGAUGCCAAAAACAUUCAAAGAUAAACUGGUUGAAGGAGGAGAAGAUUCAUACAAAGUCCAACAUGUGCCUUCUAUCAUAUUUCAAAAUUGUGAUUAUUGAAUUAUGAUCAUCAGGUAAUCUUUUAUUACCUAUUUCUAAGCUUAUUUUCUUUUGAAAUUAAAGAAUUGAAAUAGGAUUGAAUUAUGACCAUCAAAAUUUUUCUUUGGGUUAUUUUCUCGAGAAAAAUUUAUGUUAGAAAUUGAUAUUGUGAUUGAUUUCCAUUUUCUUAAGAAAAGAAAAGACAAUAUUUGCCACGUCAUCAACACUAUCCGUUGUGGUAUUAACUGAAACAGAACAUCGGUCAUUUCGUCACUUGAUAACCUCCUCCUCUCCUUUCUCAUUCCCACUCUAUCCUCUCUUUUCUUUUCCUGGUUUCUAUGUGCUUCCGUCAAUGGAUUCCAACACAAUCUUCUUCUCUUCAAAAUUCCAAACCCCAACUCUCCCACCUUCUUCUCCAUUGCGCUCUUGCACUAACCUCCCUCUAAUCAGCCGAUAAUUCCUUGGUUUCAAUCACUCUCUCAGGCCCCCAGGCGGUGGUUCUUCUCUCAGAAAGAAACACAAAAACUUGGGGUUUCUGCGCCUCCACUCUCCUCUCUUUAUCCUCAGAGCUUCUAUCGACUCCAAUUUGGUUCUCGUUGUCAUCGGUGUCACCGCAUUAUCGGCUUUAUAAGUCUGCAAGCACGCAUUAGAGCUAAUAUCUUUACUCUACUUGUUUCUAGGUGAAGUUGUGAAAAGGAAGCAACAAGAAUGUUUCUCUUGAAAGAUAUCCCCAAUUUGCAGAAGCUCUUUUUAGCUGUGUGGAGACUGGAGUGGAUUGGUGAGAUGAAGCCUAAGACUCUACUUGUAUUGAUAUGUUAUGUUGUAGAAGUAUUGAAUCUUUGUUUAUGACUUGUGUUGAUUUGUUAUAUAUGUUGUAGACGUAUUGGAUCUUUUUUUUCGACUUGUAUUGGUAUGUUAUGUUGUAGAAGUAUGGACUCUUUGUUUAUGACUUGUAUUGAUUUGUUAUGUUGUGGAGUGCGGACUCUUUGUUUUAUGGUUUGGCAAAUAAGAGAAAAAAAUCCAUCCAUGCCUGUGGUCUACCUGUACCGUAACAGGGAACUGCUUGUUCUUUCUAGCAAUACAUAAUCGAAAAUAGCUUCCUAUUUUGGGCCUAAUGGCUUUGAGCCCAAUGGAGCUUAAAUCAAGACCCAUAACUCGGUAGCCUCCGUUUGAAACGAACGUGUGGUUAACGAUGGGCCCAAUAUGUCGGUUACCGAUUUUUUUUAUAUAAGAGGACCCUACCUAACUCAAUCGAAAUCAAAAGGCGAAAUGGGAAACGGCAAUUCCUUCCUAGUUCAGCCCAGUUUUUUGCAACUUGUCUCGAAAGCUUUCAAAAGUCUUAAUGAGCAAGCCCAUUUCUUCUUUUUUUUUGCCAUUUUUGGAGUGAGGUUUGGGUCUGGACAACUUUAACUAUUAUAAGAUGACAUGGAUUGAUCUUUUAAGUCCCCUCUCUACAAUUAACCAUAUCUCAAUGAGACAAGAUUGUAAAGGAGUAAAUAUGCACAAACUAAAAUUAAAUAUUUACCCAAACAAAAAGGAAACCUAGAUUAAGUAAAGUUUAACUAUCCAUUGUACAUUUCUUAGAGUAAUGAAACCAAAAUUAAAGAAAAACAGGAGUGGACGAAAAUAAACUUUUACUUUUUCCCUCAUGAAGGGAUAGUAGGUUUCUUCAGUGAACAACCUUUAUUUUUUUUCUACAUUCCCAUUCUUUACUUAAACCACAGGUGGGAAAAGAGAAUGAACGGAUUCCUUCAAAUAUUAUUUUCUUGUUCUAUUGGCUCAUUUCACAGGACAAAGGUCAUCAAUUAAAUCUUUGUCCAUGUUAGCUGUUUUUCCCAAAUCCUUUAUGGAGAACUCCUUGGAUGAUCAAAUCUUUGUUGAUUGCAAUGUAGCUAUGUCUUUUCUUGUUAACAAUAUGUCAUUAACAUACAACACUAGAAAAAUGACAACACUUUCUUGUUUUCUUGUAUACAUAAGGAUUAUCUUUUUUUUUUUUAAUUUUUUUGAAUUAUCAUAUUUGUUUAUGAUUAUAUUCUCGAAAUACAUGUUUAAAUAUUUAUUAGUAUUAAUAUUAAUAAAAAUGAUCUAAUUCGUAAGUAUAUAAGAUUUCUAAUUGUAUCAAAUGACAUUCAUUAAAAAUAUUUUUAAAUAUAAAAAUUAAUAAUAUUUAUCUAAUGUAUAAAAAUUAAUAAAUAUUUGCGAAUAUGUCUUACUAUGAAAUUUCUCUUCUUUGGAAGAAGAUCUGGUUAGGUUAUGCUCCUUGUAGAGUUUAGAUAUUUGAUUGAUAAUAAUAUGUGAGAAAAAAUAAUAGUGAAAGUUGGGCUAGUUAAAUGGAAAUUAAUUGGUGAGAUCAAAUGAUGUGCGUGUUACGUAAAAAACACCUUGAAACUGUCAAUCAUCCUUUUUUUAUUUGUGAUGAGUCAUGGUACAUACGGGGUCUAUGGCUUUCCGAUUGGAAUUAUAGUUGGCUUAUCUCCUUCGUAAUUCUAAAAGCUUUUUUCUAGCUUGGGCUUCAGUGUGUCUUGAUAAGGAUAAAGUGAAGAUAUGGAUAUUAGCUUCCUAUGCAAUUUCAUGGUCGAUGUGGUUAUUUAGAAAUGUUAUUGUUUUAAUGAGAAGAGUUGGGAUGCCAAGCAAUUACAUGAUUUGAUCAAAUCAAGGAUUGCUCUUUGGAGUAAACCCUAGUGGCCAGAGUUGUUAGAGACCUAUGAAGAUACAUUCAGAUGGUCGAGUCUUGUGUCCAUUGCUCCAAACCAGCCAGAGAGACACUGACACGGGAGGCUCCAAUGUUGAGUUGGGUUAAGUUUAAUGUGGAUGGCGCAUUAGUUACGAAUCCGGAAAAACAUUUUUUAGUGAAAGUCAUUCAAUUCAUUUAGAAUUUUUAUCUUCAAAUUGGAUAAAUUUUAUUAAUAUUUAUGAUAAAAGAAUUUACAAUGACAAUUUAGGAAUAUAAUAAAUAAAAAUUUUUAAAUAUUUUCCAACAUUUAUACUUUUGUAGUACACGUAAAUACUUCAUUUAUUCUUUUGAAAUAAUAAUUAUAUGUCGAUACAUAUGUUUCUAAAAUAUAAAGUUAAAGCAUAAAUAAUUGAAAUUUUGUAACAUCAAUCUACAAAUUAUUCAAAUAUUAUUAGAAUAAGGAAAAGUAUUCUUUAAUGAAAAUCAUUCAAUGCAAUUAGAAUUUUUAUUUAUAAAUUGGAUAAAUUUUAUUUAUACUUUUAAUGAAAAACAGCCAUUUGAUGCAAUUAGAAUACUUAUUUACUAAUUAUAUAAAUCUUAAUAAAAAUAAUUAAAUUAAUAAUUUAAAAAUAUAAUAAAUAAAUAUAACUAUCUUCAUUAAAUAAAAUUUUUACAAUAUCCGUAUUUAUGAUUUUGUUUUUCUGUUAAAAUAAAUAGAGAAGAACAAUUUAUCCUAUUUCCCUCAAAUUCACUUUUCAACUUCUACUAAAUCCAAGCAAAAGUCUUUUUUUUUUUUCUCUACGCAGCGCUUGGUCCUGCUCACUUUUCCGCCCAGCUAAGCAUUAAUAAAGAGAACACAGGGCUAUGUAUGUCUGGUCGCUGUGGCAUCAAUCAGCAUCGAAAUUAAUGACUAAGACAAAGGUAGGUGAGAAACGAAUGGCUAAGAAAAAAGUACGUAGAAAACUAAAGGCUGAGAAAAAGGUAGAUAAGAAAAUAGAGUGAACAACCCAUGUUUGAUUAGGGUGUCACUUUCUUAUAUACAGUGUUGCAAUUUUAGUUCAUAAUUUUGUUUCAAGUGUGUCAGUAACAUCUGAUAUUAUAACUUUAACAUCAUCAAUUUGAAUAUUUUAUGCCUUUAAGGGGCAAAAUUAUUUUAUUAUGGGAAACUAAAAUUAUUGCAAAAUGCUCUAGACACAAUACAUGAAUUUUUGUUUAACGAUAAUAAUCAUGUGCAAUAAAUAUGAAUACUUAUUUUAUGUAUUCUAAUGGUUUUUUUUUUUAAUUUAUGGUUUCAUAUCAUAUGAUGAUUUCUUUCAAGUUCAUAAUCUUUUUAUUGAUCUAGCUAAUUUUAAAAUUUAUUUUUAUAUUAUACAAAAUCAAAAUUAUAAGAAUGAUGCAAGUUGAUGAAGUAUGAUUUUGAAUAACUUUAUUAAGGUUAGUAAAUCAAAAUGAUCUUUUUUAUUCAAACCGAAAACAACUCGAAUCAAAAGAAAUUUGAUGUGAAAUGCUCUAAAUUCAAAGUGAUCCAAACUCAAAAUGAUUCAAAUUUUCAUUAAUUCAAAAUAACCAAACUCAAAAUGAUAUGAACCUAUAUCUGACGUGACCUGCUCAAUUAGCCAUCUCUGUAUCAAAGGCUACUAAACCCUUAUCGUAAGAUUAUUUUAACUAAUGUUGAUUUGAGUUGACCGUCAUGGUUGUUAUAAGUCGACUGAAGGGAAGCAAAUCCUUGUCCUGAAAAUUAUCCUAGAAAAUCAACCAACAAGGCCUCCCCCUCUUCCGCCCUAACUUUUUCCAUUCAGCUCUCAAGACUGAAGAGCAGCUUCGGCAAAUAUCUCCCACAGUGCCUUAUCCUGAUCCAUCAUGGUAAGAUACCAAUUCAAGCUUCCUUUCAAAUUCCAAUGCUUCAUGCUCAUUUCUCUCUCUCUCUUCCUGUCCUUUGCUUUUGCCUUUCUUGUAUUUUGUUUUAUGAUUAAAAGAUAGUGAAUUUCGUACUUACAAAAGAAAAUGAAAAGGGAUUAAGGAAAUGCUUAGGCGAUAAACUUCGCCCAGCUGCCUCCAUGUGGUAUAUUCGGCUCUCUACUAAGCUCCUUUCUAGCUACUGAAUAUUUUCAGAUCACUCCACAUAACCCAUGCACUGUCUCCUUCAAGUCUGCAGACUGGCAGUUAAAUCUAAUAUCUUUACGUUUUCCAGGUGAAAAAGAAUCUACAAGCUUGUUUCUAUUGAAAGAUAUCCCCGAUUCGCAGCAUCUCUUUAAGUUGAGUGGAGAGCGGAGUGGAUUGGUGAGAUGAAGCCUAAGACUAGACUUGUAUUCAUUUGUUAUGUUGUGUAAGUAUUGACUCUUUGUUUAUGACUUCCUCAUGGCUUGGCAGAAAAAAGGGAAAAAAAUUUAUCUGUCCCUUUGUCUAUGUAUAAGAGGGAACUGCUUGUUCUUUCUAGUAAAUAUUGUGUGGUUGGCAAUACAUCCAAACUAGCUUGCUAUUUUGGGCCUAAUGGCCUUAGGCCGAGCGGAACACAAAUCAAGAUCCGUAACUCGUUAGCGUUCGCUUCAUGUUCAUGUAACGACAAAAACACCAGAUUUUCUUUGUUGAGAGAAAGCAGGGCCUAACAUAUGGCGGAAUCUGUUGUGUCCAAUGUUGCAGCAAGACUUGAGGACUUAGUAAUUGAAGAAGCUAAAUUCUUGCGGGGCGUGGCUGAUCAAGUUAAGCAUUUGCAAAUGGAGCUCGUUUGGAUGAAGAGCUUCUUAAAAGAGGCAGAUUCGAGACAAGCUGAGAAUGAGAUGGUUCGUAUGUGGGUUGCUGAAAUUAGAGAGAUUGCUUAUGAUGCUGAGGAUGUCAUUGAAACUUUUGCUCUCAAAAUUGCAUCCAGAAGGAGGGGAGGUAUUUCGAAUUUCAUCAAAAGAUCUGCCUGCAUCUUCAAAGAGGGAUGGAUGCUCCACAAGGUCAGGUCAGACAUUGAAGGAAUCAUAAGCAGAAUCACUGACUUGGUUCGACGGUUACAGUCCUAUGGAAUAAAAGAAUUGUCAGAUGGAGCAAGCUCAAGUUCUUCAUCUAAGAGGCAACAGUUAAGGCAGUCUUACCCUCAUAUGAAGGAACCCAAUGCUGUUGGGUUGGAUAACGCCAUAAAAGAAUUGGUCUCGGUUCUUGUAGAUGAGGGAAGGCAUUUCCGCGUUGCUUCCAUAUGUGGCAUGGGUGGUCUAGGAAAGACUACUCUGGCUAAGAAGGUUUACCAUCAUGCUCAAGUGAGAAAUCAUUUCAAGCACUUUGUUUGGGCGUACAUUUCUCAGCAAUGCCAAAGAAGAACUGUGUGGAGAGGAAUUUUAUCCAGCCUAGGUCUUAUAGAUGAGAAGGGUGGGAUAUUGCUAGACAUGGGAGAUCAAGAUCUGGCUGCAAAAUUGUAUGAAUUCCUGAAAGAAAACAAAUGUCUAGUGGUACUUGAUGACAUUUGGACAACUGAAGAUUGGGAUGCUAUUAGCCCAGCCUUCCCAAUGGAGGAGGAGACAGGUAGCAAAAUACUGCUCACCUCUCGUAACAAGGAUGUAGCUUGGCAUGCAGACUCAAGAGGUUGCCUCCACGAACUACAGUUCUUAACAGAUGAAGACAGUUGGAAAUUGUUCCAACAUAUUGCGUUUCCUAGAAGUGAUUCUGCAGGUAAUAUAUAUCUUAGCUCAAUUUAUAAUUUUAAAUUUUGGGUAAAAUAUGUGCAUUAUUUCAUUCUCAUUUCAUAGAAAUUUUUUACAAUUUAAAGAAAGGAGAAAUGCAUCAUUUUAAUUUGUGUAGCAUAUGCACUCUCGAAAUGCCCCAAUAUUCAUUUGUCUCUAGAUGUUAUUAUUAGUUCUAUCCAUGCCCCAAAUUCUGAGAUUUCUAUUGAGCUCUAGAUGUUUACCUUUAUUUUUUUUCUUUCUUGUCAAAUUUCCCUUCAAAAUUUCUUUAAGCAAUUUCUGCAAUCUAAAAAUACCCAAUAUUCUUUUAUAAGAAAAACUAAAAGAAAUAUCUUAUUGUUAUUUUUUUUUGACAACAUAUAUUAAUUAGGUGUGUGUUUAUUUGUGGGCUACAUAUGAUCGAUGACUUUUAUUGCUAGUUUAAGUUUUUUCUAUAAUAUGUUAAUUCGAGAUUGUAUAUAUCAAUAUAGUUUUGUUUUUUCUAUUAUUUCCCAGGCUAUGUAAUUGAGGAAAAAAUGGAAGAGUUGGGAAAGGACAUGGUUAAACAGUGUGCUGGGUUGCCAUUAGCCAUUGUUGUUCUAGGAGGAAUUUUGGUUACAAAGCAUUCAUUAAAUGAUUGGCAAAUCGUGCAUGAAAAUGUGAAGUCAUACUUAAGAAGAGGUAGAAGUUGGGGAAUCCAUGAAGCAAUAGCUUUAAGUUAUGAUAAUUUGCCGCCUCAUUUAAAACCAUGCUUUUUGUAUUUGAGUGUUUUCCCGGAGGAUUACAAGAUUCAUGUUGGUAAAUUAAUCAAAUUAUGGGUGGCAGAAGAUAUUGUGUCACUAGCAGACAGUGAAGAAAAUGGAGAAGAAAUGAUAGAAGAUGUAGCAGAAGGCUACUUAAGUGAGCUUGUAGAAAGAUACAUGGUGCUAGUGGGAGAACGAGAUGUAAGCUCAAAGAUCAAAACAUGCUGGAUGCAUGAUCUUAUCAGAGAUUUCUGCUUGUUGAAGGCAAAACAAGAAAAUUUCACCUAUGUUCUUGAUCGUUUUCAAAUGGAGCAAGCUGAGGCUAGCAUCUUGUCCCCUUUAAUUAGUAAAGUUCGCAGGCUUGGCAUUAAUGAUUCCUUUCUGAUAAAUAGGAUUAAAAGCCCACAUCUCAGAUCUGCAUUGUUCUUUGAUCAAUACUUUGAGAGGGAGCUUUUGGAAAGGUCUACGCUCUCAAAAUGGCUGGGGGAAGAAGACUAUGGGGAAAGUUUUACUAUUGUUGAUGCAUGUUUAGAAUCGCUUCGUUGGGUCUCUUGGCUCUGUGAGUUAAGGCAUAAAACUCGAGGGUUAACGAGAUACAUUUGCAACAAUUUCAAAUUGCUUAGAAUCCUAGAUUUUGGAGAUGCGAAUAUUUUAUUUUUGCGCAUAUUAUUACUAAGUGAUAUAGGUAGUCUCAUCCAUUUGAGAUUUUUGAGUCUUGGCCGAUGUGCUUUCGCGGCAAUGUUGCCAUCAUUUAUAAGCAAACUAAGGUUCUUGCAAACCUUGGAUUUAAGAGAUUGUGUUGGGGUUUAUGUGCCUAAUGUUUUAUGGAAAAUGGAG
rnacentral:lncRNA from 1 species